AGGUAGGACUCUUACGGUAGGGGAAGUUAGCCGAUAACUAGUUUUUAGUUUGUUCGAUUCAAACCCUGUCUC
rnacentral:tRNA from 1 species